CAUAACCAAAUACCACAGACUGGGCAGCUUGAAUACAGACAUGUAUUACUCACAGUUCUGGAGGCUGGAAGUCCAAGAUCAUGGUUCUAGCUGGUUCAGUCUCUGGGGAGGGCUCUCUUUCUGGCUUGCAGACAGCCACCUUCUUGCUGUGUCCUCAUGUAGCCUCAUUUCCUUGGGGCAUGUACCUGGAGGGUGGGGAUUAGGGAGCAUACAGGGUCUCCUUUUAUAAGGAUCCUCAUCCUAUCAGAUCAGAGCUCCAUCCUCAUGACCUCAUGUAACCUUAACUUCCUAAGGAGAGGCCCACCUCCAAGUACUGCCACAAUGGGGGUUAGAGUUCUAUCAACAUCCGAAUUUGGGGGGAACAGCAACAAAUGUUCAGUUCACAAGUAUAAAAUGGAUAUAUUAUUUAUGUGCAUAUACAUCAUAUACUGUUACAUAUCAUAGAUAAGACAUGCAUAUUAUACAUAUGUGU
rnacentral:lncRNA from 10 species